rnacentral:misc_RNA from 1 species
UCUCGAGCGCUGCACCGCCGCGAGCGGGUCAGCACCCACAACCUAUCGGUUGCCGAAGAGCAGCACGCGGGCCCUGGCCGGCCCGGUAGUUUUGACGGUCGGGCCUGUAGCUCAGUUGGUUAGAGCACCGUCUUGAUAAGGCGGGGGUCGAUGGUUCGAAUCCAUCCAGACCCACCACGUCGCGCCAGGGCGCGGCUUUGGGGCUGUAGCUCAGUUGGGAGAGCACCUGCUUUGCAAGCAGGGGGUCGUCGGUUCGAUCCCGUCCAGCUCCACCAAUUGCGGGCGUGCAGAGGGUAGAAGGCAGCAUCCCGGGAACCGCCGGGGGUUUGCCUUCUGACCUUUGAGUCAGGUCGGUUGCUCUUUAACAAUUAGGGAAGAAGUAAAGCGAAAGUUCGCGCUCUGGCGAGGGCUCUGGCGAAGGCUGGGGUCGGUGCUGGAGGCGAGCUUUGGGUUUGAUUGUAUCGACCCGGGUCUGCGGUCAGUCGGCCGUGGCCUGGGUAGCGCAAACACUUGCAGACGGUCCGCGCGCGAGCGUGGAGCGUUAUGGAGUCAAGCGACUAAGUGCAUGUGGUGGAUGCCUUGGCGAUCACAGGCGAUGAAGGACGUGGCAGCCUGCGAAAAGCUGCGGGGAGCUGGCAAACGAGCAUUGAUCCGCAGAUAU